rnacentral:lncRNA from 1 species
UGAUCUGCAACAAUGUUACUUACAAAAAUGGCGUCAACUAGUGAAUCCAUCACGGAACCACCAUAAAAAGGAUGCUGUUGUCAUGCAAAGGGAAGUCGACUAGAAGGGUGAUAGCAAAACUUAGAUAUGUGGAGCUCUAUCAUUCAGCUAACAUUGUAUCGAGGGAAUGAGAGAAGGUUGUGUUGUUACAACUUGCAAGUGCGGCUAGGAGUGACAGUUUGAGACAAAAGUAUUGUUGCAAGUGCUCCUAGGAGUAAU